ensembl:lncRNA
GUUCAAGAAAGUGUUUACCACAGACCUAGCAAAACGGAAGGAAAGCACAAACCUCACAUGGCUGAAGAUCGCUACUGCACUGGAUCCCAGGUUUAAGGACCCACUGUAAAGUGUCUUCACAAGGAUGAAAGGAAUGUGGUGUGUACCUCAAUAAGCAACCUGGUAAAGGAGGAAAAGCUGGCACAACACCGUCUACAGACACAACAGGAAAAGAGCCAGUAAAGAACAGAAUUUAAUCUUUCUUGUCUGGUUAAUCUGAUUCAGAUGAUGAAGAGUCCAUAGACAAAUGUCUGGACCACUACAAAUCAGAGCCCAAAGUCGACAUGGACCAGUGUCCACUGCAGUGGAGGUCAUCAAGUGAUGGAGCAUGUCCUGAUGGCACGCAUUAUCAUAGACUGGCUUAUUCAGAUCUGUAUGGCCCUGAAGCAUGUCCAUGAUAACGACAUGAUAAGACCACUGGUACACAAAGGCUUUAAACCCUCUUCUCAGGGAUUUUCUACCAAUUUUAUAUUAUAUUCUCUAUCACAGCUAGCCAGCGACAUUUUGCAUCAAUGUCACUUGCAAGUGACAGGUCAUCAAAUAAACAGGAUCCAAAAAGAGGGAGUAUGCUCACC